GAAAUGCGAUAAGUAAUGUGAAUUGCAGAAUUCAGUGAAUCAUCGAAUCUUUGAACGCACAUUGCGCCCGCCAGCACUCUGGCGGGCAUGCCUGUUCGAGCGUCAUUUCAACCCUCAGAACCCCUUGCGGGAUCUGGCGUUGGGGAUUGGCAUCCAGCCAGCCCCGAAAUCUAGUGGCGGUCCCUCCGCGACCUCCCCUGUGCAGUAGCGAUACCUCGCAGCGGGACAGCGGUCUGACCACGCCGUAAAACCCCCAACUUCUCAAGGUUGACCUCGUAUCAGGUAGGAAUACCCGCUUAACUUAAGC
rnacentral:misc_RNA from 1 species